AUGUGUCUAAGCUGCCRUUUAUGGAGGCUGUCUGCAACUCGUAUCCUCCAAGAUACAUGUCCCCUCGGCUGCCCCAUCCAUCAGGGAAAAUCUGCCUGGUCUACAUGGCUGCUGUCUUUGACGUCUGUCCAGGAUGGGCUUUUCUCCAGCUCAGGCUCUACAGGCGUUCGAGUUUCUGCCCAAUCGAGGGCUUGUGCAGCAGUAACACCCGUUCCCAGGUUUCCUUCCAGCUYGGCAGAGCCUCCCGCGGGCAGGAGGAGUUGGGAACCCCGGGGUAACGCGGCCGGUCUCUCCUCGCAGGCGUCGGAGGUGGAGCGGCAGCUCUCCCUGCAGGUGCACACGCUCCGGGAGGAUUUCCGGGAGAAGAGCUCGUCGAGCAGCCAGCACAUCGUGCGGCUCGAGAGCCUCCAGGCCGAGGUGAGUGGCCACGCUCGGCUCCUGGGGGGGCUCAGCCUCGCUCCCUGGGCAGGCGCCCGGCGGUGUUUUUGCGUGAUGAACCCCUCUGAACGGGGUGCACAAAACCAGCGAGGUAAAGGAUGCCAGCUGCGGGGCGGAGGGGUGCAUGCAUUGGCGGCUUCCUCCUCGCCUGCUUUCCUCUUCUCUAAGCUAAUGUCCGUUGUGUGUAACAGAGCUACAGGACGAACCUGUUUGCCCCCCAAAAUAGUCUGUGGAGCUACUGCGUCCGAGCGCAGCAGCCGUGCGAGGGCCCCCAGCUCGUGCUGCCGAGGGCARGAGCACGCCGUACCCAAGGAGGUCCCRCAGGCCUGCUCUAGCUCUGGUACAUCAGCCGGGGUCAUAUUAGCUUCCUUCCUCCUCCCGUCUCUGAUCRGGGGUGGAUGGGGACCUCUUGGGCAGCAACUGGUGGGGUCAAAGAUGUCCAGCUCUACAGCCCUGCUGCUUUUUUUUUUUUUYCUUCUUCUUCUUCUUCUUUUAAGCUGUCUGGAAGAGUUUUUCCUAAAAUCUUUCCAUUUCUUCUUCUCUCCUGCUCCCCACCUGCUCCCCGCUGGUCCCCUCGCCUUCUCUUCUCUUCCCCUCCCCUCGGCGCCGAGCAGCAGGUCCUCGAAGUAA
rnacentral:lncRNA from 1 species